rnacentral:rRNA from 1 species
UGGGGAAUAUUGGACAAUGGGCGAAAGCCUGAUCCAGCCAUGCCGCGUGUGUGAAGAAGGUCUUCGGAUUGUAAAGCACUUUAAGUUGGGAGGAAGGGCAGUAAGCGAAUACCUUGCUGUUUUGACGUUACCGACAGAAUAAGCACCGGCUAACUCUGUGCCAGCAGCCGCGGGAAUACAGAGGGUGCAAGCGUUAAUCGGAAUUACUGGGCGUAAAGCGCGCGUAGGUGGUUCGUUAAGUUGAAUGUGAAAGCCCCGGGCUCAACCUGGGAACUGCAUCCCAAACUGGCGAGCUAGAGUAGGGCAGAGGGUGGUGGAAUUUCCUGUGUAGCGGUGAAAUGCGUAGAUAUAGGAAGGAACACCAGUGGCGAAGGCGACCACCUGGGCUCAUACUGACACUGAGGUACGAAAGCAUGGGGAGCAAACAGG